rnacentral:rRNA from 1 species
UACGGAGGGUGCAAGCGUUAUCCGGAUUCACUGGGUUUAAAGGGUGCGUAGGAGGGCAGGUAAGUCAGUGGUGAAAUCUCCAAGCUUAACUUGGAACUGCCGUUGAUACUAUCUGCCUUGAAUAUUGUGGAGGUGAGCGGAAUAUGUCAUGUAGCGGUGAAAAUGCUUUAGAUAUGAACAUAGAACACCAAUUGCGAAGGCAGCUCGCUACACAUAUAUUGACUCUGAGGCACGAAAGCGUUGGGGAUCAAACAGGA